CUCACUGGGUCUAGUGGACAUGAUUUCCUCCAAACAACUGUCAUCAAACAUAGACAUGGGAGGGGGGAGGAAAGAAACUUCUCAGUUACUCCUACCUUUUUUAAUGCAAAUAAGAGGUUCCUGCUUAGGUGCUUUGAAACUUCUUCAUUUGAAUUGUUCAAAUUCUAGGUACCUACUAUAAUUCUUCUAACGAGCUCCCUCCACACUCACCUCUGAAGGACAGAAUCAGCCCGUUGCUCUAAGCUUUCAAUCAUUGCUUUGUCAUCACAGUAGUCGUAAAGGUCAAGACCAGGAAUUUUAUAGUCGAUUGCCAAAAUCUAGUAGGGUUCAUUGCUUGUAGAAGGCACUCAAAACAUGCUGAUUGAUUGAAUACUGAAAAUGUUUAAAGUCUUACUGUAGUAGAAAUUACAGCUGAAUCCCCAAUAAUUCUUCUUUCCUCCACUGUGCAGUAGCCAUGGGAUUUAAAUGGAGAUUGACCCCACCAGCUGCAAGGUUGGACCAAUCAGAGAUUAGAUUCCAGUCCUCCUGCCACAAUGAUUGGUUCAGUGACCAACAAAAGUAAGUUUUGGACAUCUGGAGACUGAGAUAGCAAAUGACAUCUUCUCUUUGGAGAGGUGCAAGCUGGGAAAUCCACCAAGCCGUCUCACCAGGCUGAUACUGUCCAAAGUAUGAAAGCUCAAUCAACUCGAGAAUUCUUAUUAAAGGGCAGGGACAGGUCAGAGAAGAUGGUGAACACGUCGCAGUGCACUGGAGAAGUGCAGAGUUAAAAAAUAGGAGAUGCUCAAGAAGUAACGGAUAGUGGGAUGGAUGGAUGGCUGAAUGGAUGGACAGAUGACAGGUGGAGCUUCUACUGGAAAGAACACUAAUCCACACCAUCCCCUCUAGCCUGAAACAUCCUUUCCAAAGAUGAACGUACUUAGCCCAGAGAGAUGACACAACUUGCCUGAAGUCAACAGUGACAUGCAACUGUAGCACAACCUGCCUGGCUCCAGACCAGCUGCUCUUAGGAUUUUGCUUGGUGGCCUUCUCGGCAGAUUUCCUGAACUGCUUGGCUCUGUUUUUAGAGCAGAAGCAGCCCCAGAAUGGGAG
rnacentral:lncRNA from 1 species